GGAGCUGGUAGCGCUUUUGAACGAAGUCCCUGCGCGUAACACCACAGCCUUGCCAAACUCCGAGAGCAGCAGAGCGGCACCGGAGGCGGCCAGAUUACGGGUUACCGCGGCCGCGUCGUGCUUGACAGGGACCGCGCGGGUCGACAGUAAGCGAGGCCCAGAGUUCGGGUGAUCUGAAUCGGUGAGCCCUGCUCCAGCUGCUGCUGGUGUGGCUGAAGAGGAUGUGGCCCAGGAUCUUCCCCGUGCCCCAACACCUCAUGCCGCAGCUGCGAGAUGUGGGCAACCGGCAGGCCAAGGCGCUGGAGUUACUAGCCGCAAACACCAGGC